GACAGCACACAGAGAUAAAAGACUAAGAUAACUUUUUUCCCCCUGAGAAAUACUGUGUGAAAGACAGAAAAAGGACUAAGAUAAAUUAUUUCCUAGGAGAGCUGAAUUUAACUCACCUUGUGAAGAAACGUUAUAAAAAUAUUUUUGAUAGAUUUUGACUGCCAUCUUGAGAGAGUUACGAUGUUGAAAAUAAUGAAAUUCAAAUCUGUGUAAACAUUGAUUUAUUUAUAUAUGCCAAUCUGAUGCUGUACCAUGGAAGAGUAUCUUGUAUAGAAUCUGAGAUCUAGAGAACCUAAGUGAGCUGCUCA